rnacentral:rRNA from 1 species
CAAACUCCGAAUACCAGUAAGUACUAUCCGGGAGACACACGGCGGGUGCUAACGUCCGUCGUGGAGAGGGAAACAACCCAGACCGCCAGCUAAGGUCCCAAAGUUAUAGUUAAGUGGGAAACGAUGUGGGAAGGCUCAGACAGCCAGGAUGUUGGCUUAGAAGCAGCCAUCAUUUAAAGAAAGCGUAAUAGCUCACUGGUCGAGUCGGCCUGCGCGGAAGAUGUAACGGGGCUAAACUAUACACCGAAGCUGCGGCAAUACAGUUUACUGUAUUGGGUAGGGGAGCGUUCUGUAAGCGGUUGAAGGUGCGUUGUAAAGCGUGCUGGACGUAUCAGAAGUGCGAAUGCUGACAUGAGUAACGAUAAAGCGGGUGAAAAACCCGCUCGCCGGAAGACCAAGGGUUCCUGUCCAACGUUAAUCGGGGCAGGGUAAGUCGACCCCUAAGGCGAGGCCGAAAGGCGUAGUCGAUGGGAAACGGGUUAAUAUUCCCGUACUUCUUACAAUUGCGAUGGGGGGACGGAGAAGGCUAGGUGGGCUUGGCGACGGUCGUCCAAGUUCAAGUAUGUAGGCUGUAUUCUUAGGCAAAUCCGGGAAUACACUAGGCUGAGAUACGAUGUCGAGCUACUACGGUAGUGAAGCCAUUGAUGCCAUGCUUCCAGGAAAAGCCUCUAAGCUUCAGAUUGUAAGGAAUCGUACCCCAAACCGACACAGGUGGUCGAGUAGAGAAUACUAAGGCGCUUGAGAGAACUCGGGUGAAGGAACUAGGCAAAAUGGUACCGUAACUUCGGGAGAAGGUACGCUCCUAGCGGUGAUGAGACUUGCUCUCUAAGCUGCCGGGAGUCGCAGAUACCAGGUGGCUGCAACUGUUUAUUAAAAACAUAGCACUGUGCUAAAUCGUAAGAUGACGUAUACGGUGUGACGCCUGCCCGGUGCUUGAAGGUUAAUUGAUGGGGUUAGACUUCGGUCGAAGCUCUUGAUCGAAGCCCAAGUAAACGGCGGCCGUAACUAUAACGGUCCUAAGGUAGCGAAAUUCCUUGUCGGGUAAGUUCCGACCUGCACGAAUGGCGUAAUGAUGGCCACGCUGUCUCCACCCGAGACUCAGUGAAAUUGAAAUCGCUGUGAAGAUGCAGUGUACCCGCGGCUAGACGGAAAGACCCCGUGAACCUUUACUACAGCUUGGCACUGAACAUUGACCCUACAUGUGUAGGAUAGGUGGGAGCCUUUGAAGCAAGUACGCCAGUAUUUGUGGAGGCAAUCUUGAAAUACCACCCUUGUAUGCUUGAUGUUCUAAC